GAGACAUUACACAUGCUCCAUAAUGGGGCAAAAGUUACUUAUAUUAUGUGCCCUUGUGGUACUUAGCCAAGCAGCUAAACUACCUAAAUCACAGACUGCUACAUGUGCAAGACAAUGUACAGAAACGAAAAAAUUUGGAUACGAAACCGGAAAGACAUACGACUAUGAGUACACAUCAAAGGUGUCAACGACAAUACAAGGGGCUUCCGAAGAUAAAGCGGAAAUCGACA